AUCUCCUGGAGAGUUUGUUAAAAUGUAGAUUCUGAUUCAGCAGGCCUGAGGUGCUACCUGAGUCUGCAUUUUUAACAAGUUCCCAAGUGAUGCCAG
rnacentral:pre_miRNA from 1 species